rnacentral:misc_RNA from 1 species
GAUGAAGAACGCAGCGAAAUGCGAUAAGUAAUGUGAAUUGCAGAAUUCAGUGAAUCAUCGAAUCUUUGAACGCACCUUGCGCUCCUUGGUAUUCCGAGGAGCAUGCCUGUUUGAGUGUCAUGAAAUUCUCAACCUUUUCAGCUUUCUUUGUUGAUCAGGCUUGGAUGUGGGAGUAUGCGGGCUUCUCAGAAGUCGGCUCUCCUGAAAUGCAUUAGCGGGACCUUUGUUGCCUGGCUUUGGUGUGAUAAUUAUCUACGCCAUUGUAGUCAAGCAGCUUAAAAUGAGGUUUCAGCUUCUAACCGUCUCCCCUGAGACAACUUUUGACAAUUUGACCUCAAAUCAGGUAGGACUACCCGCUGAACUUAAGCAUAUCAUAAGCGGAGGA